rnacentral:rRNA from 1 species
AUUGAACGCUGGCGGCAGGCCUAACACAUGCAAGUCGAGCGGAAACGAUCCUAGCUUGCUAGGAGGCGUCGAGCGGCGGACGGGUGAGUAACGCGUGAGAAUCUACCCAUGAGUGGGGGACAACCCGGGGAAACUCGGGCUAAUACCGCAUACGCCCUACGGGGUAAAGCAGGGGACCUUCGGGCCUUGCGCUGAUGGAUGAGCUCGCGUCGGAUUAGCUUGUUGGUGAGGUAAAGGCUCACCAAGGCGACGAUCCGUAGCUGGUCUGAGAGGAUGAUCAGCCGCACCGGGACUGAGACACGGCCCGGACUCCUACGGGAGGCAGCAGUGGGGAAUCUUGGACAAUGGGGGCAACCCUGAUCCAGCCAUGCCGCGUGUGUGAAGAAGGCCUUCGGGUUGUAAAGCACUUUCAGCAGGGAGGAAGGCUUACCCCUAAUACGGGUGAGUACUUGACGUUACCUGCAGAAGUAGCACCGGCUAAUUUCGUGCCAGCAGCCGCGGUAAUACGAAAGGUGCAAGCGUUAAUCGGAAUUACUGGGCGUAAAGCGCGCGUAGGCGGUGUGUUAAGUCGGAUGUGAAAGCCCAGGGCUCAACCUUGGAAUUGCAUCCGAUACUGGCACGCUAGAGUGCAGUAGAGGGAGGUGGAAUUUCCGGUGUAGCGGUGAAAUGCGUAGAGAUCGGAAGGAACACCAGUGGCGAAGCGGCCUCCUGGACUGACACUGACGCUGAGUGCGAAAGCGUGGGG